rnacentral:tmRNA from 1 species
GGGGGUGUAAAGGUUUCGAUUGCCGGUGAGCGGAAAGAUAAGCAUACCGCAGACGGAGUGGCUGCGUAAAAACAUUCCGAAAAAUUUAAAUGCAGAUAAUAAUGCAGAAUACGCUUUAGCAGCGUAACUUCGUUUUUAAACGAAGCGUCGGCUUUCGUUCGUCCGUCGGCGGAAGAUACGGCGUUAAAAAGGCGGAAAAAUCUUGUGCGGGCUGCGGGAGGAACGCAUAAGAUUAUUAAAUCCCGUGCGGAAUCGGCGGCGCGUUCGUUCGCAACCGAUUUUUAAGAAAAUAAGCGGAAUAAGUAUGUAGAAAGUUUUUUGGCAGCCGAGUAAGACGUGGGUUCGAUUCCCACCACUUCCACCA